rnacentral:rRNA from 1 species
CAAUAGCGUAUAUUAAAGUUGUUGCAGUUAAAAAGCUCGUAGUUGGAUUUCUGGGAGGGUGCCGCCGUCCGGCGUGUCCGUGUGCAGUGGCGCCCUUCCAUCCUUCUGUUAGCGUCUCUUGGCAUUCAUUUGCUGGUGGCGGGCUCAGAUAUUUUACCUUGAGAAAAUUAGAGUGUUUCGGGCAGGCUAGGCCGGAAUACAUUAGCAUGGAAUAAUGGAAUAGGACUACGGUCUCUUUGUUGGUUUGAGGGACUGCAGUAAUGAUUAAUAGGGAUAGUUGGGGGCAUUAGUAUUUAAUUGUCAGAGGUGGAAUUCUCAGAUUUGUUAAAGACUAACUUAUGCGAAAGCAUUUGCCAAGGAUGUUUNCAUUAA